ensembl:lncRNA Novel trancript, antisense to CCDC191
UUGCUUUCCCUGCAUGCAGUGAUUCUACUAAAACCACCAUCUGUGGACUUACAGAUUCACCUUAUCUACUGUCAUAGUAUUCCACACACCGUUGCUUCUGACCAAAGAACUCACUUCACAGCAAAGAAGUAUAGCAAUGGGCCCAUGCUCACGGAAUUCACUGGCCUUACUAUGUUCCCUACCAUCCAGAACCAGGUGGAUUGAUCGAACAAUGGAAUAGCCCUUUGAAGACUUAGUUAUAGCACCAGCUAGGUGGCAAUACCUUGCAGGGCUGGGGAAGGUUCUUCAGAAGUCCGUACAUGCUCUUAAUCAGUAUCCAAUACAUGGCAUGGUUUCUCUGAUAGCCAGGAUUCAAGGGCCCAGGAAUCAAGGGAUGGAAAUGAGAAUGGUACACUAUUACCCCUAGUAAUACCACUAGCAAAAUUUUGGCUUCCUGUUCCCAUGACUUUAUGCUUUACUAGCCUAGAGGUCUUAGUUCCAGAGGGAAGAAUGCUUUCACCAAGAGACAUAAUGAUUCCACUUAACUGCAAGUUGACUGCUACCUGGCCACUUUCGGCUCCUUGUGCCACUGAAUCGAUGGCAAAGAAGGGAGUUAUGAGGCUAGCUUGGGGUGACUGAUCCUUCCUGCCAAGGGGAAACUGAACUACUACUCUACAUGAAGGAUAGUCAAGCGUCUACCAAAGUGCCUGUCCUAUCUCUGGAAGAAGUCUGCAUUUUGUGAUAAAAGUAGAAAACUCAAUCAACCUGUCAUCAGUUACGUAACUUAAAAGUUUCUCCAAAAGAAUCCUUUUCUACUUGGGAAGCACAAACAGCCAAAAGCAGCACUGGGGUUUUGACUGUCAAGGAGAUUAUUUGGACAUUAUGAAAAGGCAAAGAGAGAAACACUUCUGUAACUAUAACAAGACUAAAAAAGAAAAGCAAGAUGCAUUUUUAGAAGAAAUAAGUGGAUGACUCCUUGGACUGCAAGUGAGACUCAGCACAGGCUCAACAAGGAAAGAUGGUUGCUAAAUUACGAAUAAAAAGAGAGAGAUUUGUGGUUGCUUCAGAGAGAAAGUGGGAAGAACAGAAAGAAAAGGGGCAAAAGAAAAAAGCCCACAAGUCUGGGCCCUUCAUGGCGGACAGGCCAGUGAGCGGAAAUCGAGGUGGCAAACACACACGUCAGCGAGGGGAGCUAGAGGAUGAGGAAAACAACUGACAUUUAAAUAACGAACAUAAUAAGUAAUUUCAAUGUCCAGGUGAGUGAACCACAGAAUUACCUGUGUUUUGUCAAUCUGGUCAGAGCUAAGUUUCUAUAGUGAGUAACCACGAUAAUAAAUGCUCUCUCC